UACGUAGGUGGCGAGCGUUGUCCGGAUUUACUGGGCGUAAAGAGCGCGCAGGCGGUCGUACAAGUCGCGUGUGAAAGCCCCCGGCUCAACUGGGGAGGGUCACGCGAUACUGUUCGACUCGAAGGCAGGAGAGGGUAGUGGAAUUCCCGGUGUAGUGGUGAAAUGCGCAGAUAUCGGGAGGAACACCAGUGGCGAAGGCGACUACCUGGCCUGUUCUUGACGCUGAGGCGCGAAAGCUAGGGUAGCAAACGGG
rnacentral:rRNA from 1 species